AAGCUCUGGUUUCUCUUCAAAACGAAUACAUCGUUUGCCUUUUACUGCAGAUUUUCGUGGAGAGGAACAGUUGUUAGUAACUUUUUUGUUUGUUUGUUUUUAGGUCCUGCUUGGACAGGGCC
ensembl:snRNA U5 U5 spliceosomal RNA